rnacentral:tRNA from 1 species
GCGUCGAUAGUUUAAAUGGAUAAAACUUUUGCCUUCUAAGCAAAGAAUAGUAGGUUCAAAUCCUACUCGGCGUA